AGCUCUCAGUAGCCCCUCCCUACUUGUCUGAAGUAGGACAGAGGGAGUGAAGAAGACUUGUGCUUUUAAGUCUGGAGAACAGAAUGAAAUAGAAAAAUGACAAAGAAGCUUACCACUGGAAGAGUGCAGAGACAAAAUGCUCUUCUUUGAAACUCUUUGAACAGCUAUUCUGUCUUCCUACUUCACUCUGAAGACUGGCUUUCUCCGUUUAUUCAUCAAGUGGCACAGGGCUCCAAAUGACACCUCAGUCUCCACAUCUAGAAGACUCUAUCUCUUAUUGAUUACAAUCUGUUUCCAAAUAGAAACUCUCAAAAAGAAGAUUUGAUUGGCUCAGCUCAUUUGCCUACUGCUUAUAAGACUUUGUGAUUACAUUGGGCCCACUGAAUAAUCCAGGAAAAUUUCCCUAUCAUAAGGUCAGCUGAUUAGGAACCUUAAUUCCCUUUGCCAG